CGGAGGAAAAGAAACUAACAAGGAUUCCCCUAGUAGCGGCGAGCGAAGCGGGAAGAGCUCAAAUUUAUAAUCUGGCACCUUCGGUGUCCGAGUUGUAAUCUCUAGAAAUGUUUUCCGCGUUGGACCGCACACAAGUCUGUUGGAAUACAGCGGCAUAGUGGUGAGACCCCCGUAUAUGGUGCGGACGCCCAGCGCUUUGUGAUACAUUUUCGAAGAGUCGAGUUGUUUGGGAAUGCAGCUCAAAUUGGGUGGUAAAUUCCAUCUAAAGCUAAAUAUUGGCGAGAGACCGAUAGCGAACAAGUACCGUGAGGGAAAGAUGAAAAGCACUUUGGAAAGAGAGUUAACAGUACGUGAAAUUGUUGGAAGGGAAACGCUUGAAGUCAGACUUGCUUGCCGAGCAAUCGGUUUGCAGGCCAGCAUCAGUUUUCCGGGAUGGAUAAUGGUAGAGAGAAGGUAGCAGUUUCGGCUGUGUUAUAGCUCUCUGCUGGAUACAUCUU
rnacentral:rRNA from 1 species